AAGCAGUAGCAUAAAAUGGAACGAGUGCAGGUCCGUUCUUUUCAGCCUCUGGGGAAAUGACCCUGCCAAUUCAGAAACCCGCAAGAGUUCCUGCCCUAGAGAGUGUUUUCACACAUUAAAACAGAAAUUCAGAUUUUAAUUAACCCAGUGAAUUUGCCUGAAAAUAUGCUCCCUGGAACACAACUAAGUCGUGCUUAUGAUAAAGAUGUGGCUGGAAAGGGAGAUGUCUACCGUUUUCUGAAUAAAACAUAAGAUUUUGCCAUCGAUGCAAGUUCUGGUGUAAUCACUGCUACCAAAAUUUUUAAUUAUGAAACAGAUCCAAUAAGGUUUCUUCUGAUAGUUGAUACUGGGAGGCUCUAUAGACAUGAUUUGACCAUUAAUAUUAUUGAUGUUCCCGAAUCUCCAAACUGUACUGCUGAUCCCAAAUUUUCUUCAGGCACAGGUAUGAUGCGUUAUCUUCCUAUAGUUUACUUCUAAAAGCUAUGUAUAAUGAAAGAGGCCAGGCAUACUCCCUCAGUGAGAGAUGAUUCAGUGAUUCUUUAAAUUAUGCAUAUAAUGUGUGUUUAUAUAAAUACAUAAAAAUAUGUGCAGACCUUCAUGUUUGUAAGAAAACAUAAUCUCUCUAAGGAAUAAUUUGAAAAACAUGUUUACCCUAUAAAAAUUUUCAUGCCACAAUUAUGAGGUAGGAGAGCAAAUACAUUAAAAACAGCAAUAGAGAUUCUACAAAAGACUUGCCGUAAGAGAAGCAAGGCAGGAGAGAAACAAAAUGAAUAAAAGGUUUUCGUAACUUAAUACACAAAGUUAAACCUUCACUUGUAAAAAUGCUACAAAGAAUAAUUUAGUUUUAAUACGCUUAAGGUUCAAAUGGUAUUUUAGUUUUCCAAAAAAGUAAGGAUGAUAGCCAUCAAUCAAAAAUGCACAAAAAUAAAUGUGAAUUUUAAUUAUAAUAUGAUCAUAGAAAUAAGAGACAUUUGUAUUACAAAAUCAAAUACUGUGUAGGAUUGUGGAGCGGUUGACCAAGUCAGAGAUAUCAGAAAAGUUUUCUCUAAAGUUUUGGCAGUUUACUUUAGUUCUAAACUCUGAUAAUAGUAAAUAAGCAAGAGGAGGGAGAAUAGCAUUUCAUGCAGAAGGAACUAUAAGUUCCCUGAGGCAGCAUAGAACAUGUUGACUAAGAAUAAUGGGAAGUCUAGUAUAAUUGAAAUAGGACACUAAGUAAUAUGGUACAAAAUGAUAAUUGAAAAGUAAUGAAGAGUAUUUUAAGAAUGUCAGUCUUGGUUCUAAGGGUAGUGGGAAUGCUAUGAAGUAUUUUAAGCUGAUAGAUGUUUCAAAUGUAUCCAUCUUGUUGAGUAUAGAGAAAGAUGAGAAGGGGACAAAGUUAGUUUAGGUGUCAGCAAGCAUUGUAAAAGGCCAGAAAAUAAAUAUUUUAGGCCUUGCAAGCCAAAAGAUAAAUUGAGUCUAUUAUUUAGGUAGUACUUAUAAGCAAGGAAAUAAAUAUCUACAAUUUUUAUUGAUAAAUUUUUAAAAGAUAAUAACAGUAACAAUUGGGUAUAAUUUUGUACUACAGCUCUGCUAAUGAGAGGAGUGAAUUUUCAUUUGGGAGGGGUUGGAGUUUCUCUUUAUUGGAUGGGACAUUAAAUACCAUCAGCAAAUCUCUUUCCUUACUUAGCUAACUAAUGAACUGCUUAGAAUCUUUUUUGACUGCAGUUUCAUUGGUAAUUAUUUUUGUGAAUAAAGUCUGUCUUCAUGAAAUAUUUUAUUUUAAAUUUUCUACUUUUUCUGAUCAUUGUUUUUCUGUCAAGUGGGAAUACUGGGAUGAGUACUUAGUCUUGUUUUUCAGACAUGUAUUAUAUUCCUUUAUUAAUAUCAAAGUUAUAAUGUCAUUACAUAAUAAAAACAGUUUUUGGACACAUAACUUAAAAACAAAACAAUCCACACUGCAUCAUGCCUUAAAAAUGUGUCAUUCAGUUUACUUUUCUCUUCUUUUCUUGUUUUGCCAUGGUGGGUGGAUAUGAUAAUUAAAAAGAAUGUGGUACUCAGAAUGCUGUUAUAACUGGAUUACUGGAAUUCAUGGUAUUUGAGGUGAUGAGAACACCAUAUAUUUCCAUCACUCAACUCAGUAGCAAGAAUGCAACAAUAUAUGAUCUAUAAAUAAAUGAGUAUAUAUGUCUUGUUAAAACUUUAUAAAUACUGAAAUUUGAACUCUAUAUAAAUUUCAUGUGUCACAAAAUAUUAGACUUCUUUUGAUUGUUUAAACUAUUUUUAAACCAUUUUUAUUUAAAGUACAAAAACUAUUCUUAGCUUACAGAGCAUACAAAACCAGGCAAUAGUCUAGAUUUGGCUGAAGGGUGGUGGUUUGGAGACCCAUAGAGUAGAAAAAAGAAGACGUUCAUUUCAGUCAUCUAGGCAAGGAAUGGUAUAGUUUGGCCUAGGAAGAUGAUAGAGAUGAGAAAAGGAUAAUCUUAGGACAUUUUAAUAAUAUAGCUGGUGAUGAAUUUAGUAGAAUGAAGGAGAGAAGGGACUGGGUUUUCUAAUUUGUGUAACUGGUGUGGAAAUCCUCAAGAAAUAUAGGAAAACUUAGAAAUAUACCAAAUUUGACCAGGCGCGGUGGCUCACACCUGUAAUCCCAACACUUUGGGAGGCCAAGGCGGGUGGAUCACGAGGUCACGAGUUCAAGACCAACCUGGCCAAGAUGGUGAAACCUCAUCUCUACUAAAAAUACAAAAAUUAGCCGGGUGUGGUGGCGGGCGCCUGUAAUCCUACCCACUUGGGAGGCUGAUGCAGAGAAUUGCUUGAACCCGGGAGGUGGAGGUUGCAGUGAACUGAGAUGGUGCCACUGUACUCCAGCCUGGGUGACAGAGUGAGACUCCAUCUC